rnacentral:rRNA from 1 species
GGCCACUGCUAUCAAGUUCCGACUAAGCCAUGCGAGUCAAGGUAUCGUAAGAUGCCGGCAAACUGCUCAGUAACACGUGGAUAAUCUAACCUUGAGUAAGGGAUAACUUCGGGAAACUGAAGGUAAUACCUUAUAAUUGCUUAAAACUGGAAUGUUUUUGCAAUAAAAGUUACGACGCUCAAGGAUGAGUCUGCAACCUAUCAGGUAGUAGGUGGUGUAAUGGACCACCUAGCCUCAGACGGGUACGGGCCCUGGGAGGGGUAGCCCGGAGAUGGACUCUGAGACAUAAGUCCAGGCCCUACGGGGCGCAGCAGGCGCGAACACUGUGCAAUGCGCGAAAGCGCGACACGGGGAGCUUGAGUGUCUUGGCAUGGCCAAGACUUUUCUCAUUCCUAAAAAGCAUGAGGAAUAAGUGCUGGGUAAGACGGGUGCCAGCCGCCGCGGUAACACCCGCAGCACGAGUAGUGGUCACUUUUAUUGAGCCUAAAGCGUUCGUAGCCGGUUUUGUAAAUCUUCAGAUAAAGCCUGAAGCUUAACUCCAGAAAGUCUGAAGAGACUGCAAGACAUGAGAUCGGGUGAGGUUAAACGUACUUUCAGGGUAGGGGUAAAAUCCUGUAAUCCCGGAAGGACGACCAGUGGCGAAAGCGUUUAACUAGAACGAAUCUGACGGUAAGGAACGAAGGCUAGGGUAGCAAACCGGAUUAGAUACCCGGGUAGUCCUAGCUGUAAACAUUGCCCAUUUGAUGUUGCUUUUCCGUUGAGGGAUGGCAGUGUCGGAGCGAAGGUGUUAAAUGGGCCGCUUGGGAAGUAUGGUCGCAAGACUGAAACUUAAAGGAAUUGGCGGGGGAGCACCGCAACGGGAGGAAUGUGCGGUUUAAUUGGAUUCAACGCCGGAAAACUCACCGGGAACGACCUGUGCAUGAGAGUCAACCUGACGAGCUUACUCGAUAGCAGGAGAGGUGGUGCAUGGCCGUCGUCAGCUCGUACCGUAGGGCGUUCACUUAAGUGUGAUAACGAGCGAGACCCACAUCUUUAAUUGCAAAUGUAUAUGAGAAUAUGCAUGCACUUUAGAGAAACCGCCAGCGCUAAGCUGGAGGAAGGAGUGGUCGACGGCAGGUCAGUACGCCCCGAAUUUCCCGGGCUACACGCGCAUUACAAAGAACGGGACAAUACGUUGCAACCUCGAAAGAGGAAGCUAAUCGCGAAACCCGUCCAUAGUUAGGAUUGAGGGCUGUAACUCGCCCUCAUGAAUCUGGAUUCCGUAGUAAUCGCGGGUCAACAACCCGCGGUGAACAUGCCCCUGCUCCUUGCACACACCGCCCGUCAAACCAUCCGAGUUGGUGUUGGAUGAGGUUUAAUUCGAGAGGGUUAAAUCAAAUCUGAUGUCGGUGAGGAGGGUU